CGGGAGAGAAAGCCGCGGCGCGGAUCCGCCAGCCGCCCCGCCCUCAACCCCCUCCCGCCGCCGCCUCGGCCCCGCCUUCCCCCUGGCGCAGGCCCCCGGGGCGCGGGACCCCGGCGCGACCUCGGCCCCCGGCCCGGACCCCACGUUCCCUGCCGCCCUCCCCGGCCCGCUCGCGGCCCCCCCCCCACGGCGGCCGGCCCUGCCCGCGCGGUCCAAGACCCCGGCCGGCGGAGGAACGCGAUCGGGCGAGGCUGGGAGCCGGCUGCCGCCGGGAACCCCGUCUCGCGCUGUGGGGAGGCCCCGAAAGGAAAGGGGGUGAGCCUGGAUCGUUUAUGACAGCGGUUUUGUCCCUGCCGCGAUCGCCUGUGAAAAGAGCGGGAUGGGUGGGGGUAGAGGUGGGGUCGGCCGAGAUCGCUUCCUCUCGGUCCGAGGAGUGGAAGAGCCUCGGGGAUGCACCCAGGUUUGAUGGUGACUUUUUGUUUUUCUUCAGUUUUGACAAGGAAACUGUGAAGCGAAAGAACUAAACAGGAAGGUGAGCCCGUUUUUUAGGAGAGUCAAGUGCAAAAGCAGAAGCUUCAAGUGUUAAACUCCCCAGGCAGGGCAGGGCUGGUGGUCUGUUCCCUUCAUCCGCCGUCACGCUGAGUGACAGACGGUAAUGUAGACGCGGCUGAUUUCUGAUAUGAAUAUCCAGUUCUAUAAUGAAUUCAGAAUGUAUUGCUGCCACUGAGAAGUUACGUGUUGUCCUCAGAAGCAAAGAUGACUCUCCAGCAUCUGUAUGGCAUAUGUAUUUUCAGAGGGAGAAUGGAUCUGUGCCAGUUGUCUCUGGCCUGAAUUAAAGGUGUAGUAUCUGCCUAUAAACAGAUAAGCUUACUGAGGGGCUGAACCCAGCACGGGUGGAACUGAAUCAAAUUAAUCAGUUAAAGCAUGUAUGUGUAUUAAUUUGCUCAGUCAUGUCUGACUCUUUGUGACCCCGUGGACUGUAGCCCACCAAGCUCCUAUGUCCAUGGGAUUCUCCAAGCAAGAAUACUGGAGUGGGUUGCCAUGCCCUCCUCCAGGGGAUCUUCCUGACCCAGGGAUCAAAGGGUAUUAGUUAGGCCUCAAGUAAUUCCAGCGGGUUGCUGGAGACCCAGGACUCAUGGGUUCUCAUCCCUACUCUAUCCCCAGAUGUUGUGUGGCCUUAGACAGGUGACUUACCCACUUCGUUAUCUAUGAAAUGAUGAUUUCCAAGUAGCUGACCUCUAGGGUCAUCCAUAGCUGCAAAAUUCUAAUUCUAAGUUGAAUGGUGACACUUCUCCUCUCUCAGCUUAUACACUGGGAUACAUUAAGGAAGAGUAAUUAAUACACAAGUAAGAUAGACAAAGAUCCACUAAUGAAAAUGUUGUGAAAUUUAACCAAGAUACACUAGUCAUGUUAUACAAAAAUUAUGUUCUUAUUAUUAAUGGAUCUUGUUCAUAUAAGAAAAAUAGUAGGCUCAUAUGCUGGCAGUUAAUUUUAAGAGAAUGAAUCUUAAUCCAAAUGAGAUGAAAUAUACAGGAUUUGAUUAGAAUCUUAAGUCCCCGUAGAAGCAGAUUUACUGAUCUGAAACAGUAUCAGAAGAUGGUAUCAGAGAAAAGAAAGCUAUGAAACAAGGAUGUGGGGACUAGAGCUGGAAAGUGAAGUUAAAG
ensembl:lncRNA